rnacentral:rRNA from 1 species
AUUGAACGCUGGCGACAGGCCUAACACAUGCAAGUCGAACGGUAACAGGAAGAAGCUUGCUUCUUUGCUGACGAGUGGCGGACGGGUGAGUAAUGUCUGGGAAACUGCCUGAUGGAGGGGGAUAACUACUGGAAACGGUAGCUAAUACCGCAUAAUGUCGCAAGACCAAAGAGGGGGACCUUCGGGCCUCUUGCCAUCGGAUGUGCCCAGAUGGGAUUAGCUAGUAGGUGGGGUAACGGCUCACCUAGGCGACGAUCCCUAGCUGGUCUGAGAGGAUGACCAGCCACACUGGAACUGAGACACGGUCCAGACUCCUACGGGAGGCAGCAGUGGGGAAUAUUGCACAAUGGGCGCAAGCCUGAUGCAGCUAUGCCGCGUGUAUGAAGAAGGCCUUCGGGUUGUAAAGUACUUUCAGCGGGGAGGAAGGGAGUAAAGUUAAUACCUUUGCUCAUUGACGUUACCCGCAGAAGAAGCACCGGCUAACUCCGU